AUUGAACGCUGGCGGCAGGCCUAACACAUGCAAGUCGAACGGUCACAUGAAGAAGCUUGCUUCUUUGCUUUCGCGUGGCGGACGUGUGUGUCAUGUCUGUGAACCUGCUUUAUGGCUGGGGUUAACUCCUGGAAACGGUGGCUAUUACCGCUUAACUUCUCAAGACCAAAAAGGGGUACCUUCGGGCCUCUUUCCAUCCGCUGUGCCCAGAUGGCAUUAGCUAGUAGGUGGGGUAACGGCUCACCUAGGCCACGAUCCCUAGCUGGUCUGAGAGGAUGACCAGCCACACUGGAACUGAGACACGGUCCAGACUCCUACGGGAGGCAGCAGUGGGGAAUAUUGCACAAUGGGCGAAAGCCUGAUGAAGCCACGCCGCGUGUAUGAAGAAGGCCUUCGGGUUGUAAAGCACUUUCAGCGGGGAGGAAGGGAGGAAAGAGAAAACCUGUGCUCAUUGACGUUACCCGAAGAAGAAGCAACGGCUAACUCCGUG
rnacentral:rRNA from 1 species